GGAGAGAUACCCAAGUGGCUGAAGGGUUCGGUCUUGAAAACCGAGAGCGGGUUAAUAGCCCGGCGGGGGUUCAAAUCCCUCUCUCUCCGCCA
rnacentral:tRNA from 1 species